ACAUGUGUGUACGUAUGCGAUCAGAAGAAGGAGCCAGGAGAGCUCAAACCCUAGUUCAGCAAAUCCUCCAAAUCGAAGCUCAAAUCAAGCCCGAAUCGUCUGCAUGAUUACAAAUUCGUGAUCGCCUAGUCGUGGGGAUCAUAAGGUGUACCUUAUAUGCUUGCGAAGUUGACUCUAAACAAGCUAGGUGGGAGCUUGAAAAGGGACGGGUCAAACGGAUCAUGGAUGCGAAGAAUGUUUGCGCGGACGCGAGGUAAGUAUAACUUACACUAGUCAUAUAUUUUAGAAUGUUCUUUUGUCGUGUUGACUACGAAUAAGACAAAUGAUAAUUUAGUCACACGUUGACAAUAAUCGUUAGUUUUAAAAGACGCUUUCCCGCGUAAGACAUAAAGAGCCGAAAGUGGUAAUAAACGGUUUAUAAAUAAAAUGAGCAUACGGUGUUAAAAAGAGCGAGUCAUGUAGAUGAGAUGAUAAUAAAUAUUAUCUCGCAAAGAUAAACGGUCAAUUCGGCCAAACGGGUCAAAAGGUGUAGACAUCACCUUUUGACAAUAUCGACUAAUGAUUCUGGUGUCGAGUUAUAUGUUUACAGGAGUAGGUAUCCAAUGGAUACUCGCAUCGCUCUUAAUUAGCAAUUAUAAAGCAAGGUAUUAAACCGGGUUAGUAAGUUGAUCCGAGCCAGGUAUGUAUAAUAUAUUAACUCAUCAUGUAGAACUUGAAGUUCUAUGAAAGUUAGGCAAAAUAAAAAAAAGAAGGGCAUUCAGUUACCUUAAUAGGUAAACCGAAGGAUUUAAAUUAUUUAGACAGAAUGUUUUGAAAACAAGAUUUGGUUAAAAAUGAGAAAUUAGAGUCAAACAACAGGUUUGUUUGAUAAAAUCACGAACGGGUCAAAUUUGGUAAAAAGGGGUAAUAAGCCGAAGACUUAAAAGUCUUAAAUUUUGUUAAUCCAGAUGUUGGGUCUUGACUCCAUUUGAUGGAGGUUCAAUUUACAAUCACGUAGGAAGAAACGGUAGGUCAAACGGACAAGCGGAUUAAAAGUUAUGAAGGUUUCCGUUUUAGAAAUCGGCAAACUUGGAAAAUCUUGCAGAGGCCACCGUAAGUUACGGUAGCUACCGUAACUUACGGUAGCCUUAAAAAUCUUUACGCCUUAAACCCACUGAGUUACGGUGGAAGAUUCAACAUUCAGGGGCUACCGUAAAUUACGGUAGCCACCGUAAUUUACGGUAGACCCUGUAACAAAAUUUAUUUUAAUCAGUUUCGUUUCCCAGAACUCGUUAGACACGUUUAUAACCCCCGUAAGACUAAAGCAUUUCUUGUUUAUGAAAUGUAGGUACAUUUUGGAUGCCGGAAGACGAUCAAGCUCAUUGGAGAACCGAACACGAUAAAGAUACAUGCUUCCGCACAGUGUCUCGUCGUAAAUUUUAAACGACGAAUUCAAUUACGUUAUGUCGAAUAACUUAUGAUUUGUAAAAGUUUUAAUAAACCCGUAUUUUUAUAGUAUGUGUAGUCUUAUCUACACAACUACUUGUUGGUAAUUAUAUGUAAAACCGUUAAAUAGUAAUUAGGAUGUUACAGUGAAUAAGGAAUACGUGACUUGUU
rnacentral:lncRNA from 1 species